rnacentral:rRNA from 1 species
AUUGAACGCUGGCGGCAUGCCUUACACAUGCAAGUCGAACGGUAACAGGCCGCAAGGUGCUGACGAGUGGCGAACGGGUGAGUAAUGCAUCGGAACGUGCCCAGUCGUGGGGGAUAACGCAGCGAAAGCUGUGCUAAUACCGCAUACGAUCUAUGGAUGAAAGCGGGGGACCGUAAGGCCUCGCGCGAUUGGAGCGGCCGAUGUCAGAUUAGCUAGUUGGUGGGGUAAAGGCCCACCAAGGCGACGAUCUGUAGCUGGUCUGAGAGGACGACCAGCCACACUGGGACUGAGACACGGCCCAGACUCCUACGGGAGGCAGCAGUGGGGAAUUUUGGACAAUGGGCGCAAGCCUGAUCCAGCAAUGCCGCGUGCAGGAAGAAGGCCUUCGGGUUGUAAACUGCUUUUGUACGGAACGAAACGGUCUGGGUUAAUACCCUGGGCUAAUGACGGUACCGUAAGAAUAAGCACCGGCUAACUACGUGCCAGCCGCCGCAGUAAUAC